rnacentral:rRNA from 1 species
CGCUAAUACCUCAGUAUGCAGCGGAUCCGCAUGGAUAUGUUGUUAAAGGUUUACCGCCUUGGGAUAGGCUUGCGUCUGAUUAGCUAGUUGGUGUGGUAACGGCACACCAAGGCUACGAUCAGUAACUGGUCUGAGAGGAUGAUCAGUCACACUGGAACUGAGACACGGUCCAGACUCCUACGGGAGGCAGCAGUGAGGAAUAUUGGGCAAUGCUCGAAAGAGUGACCCAGCAACGCCGCGUGGAGGAUGAAGGUAUUCUAUAUCGUAAACUCCUGUGAGAGCAGACGAAAGACAGAUUAUUAAUCUGGAUGACUGUAUGCUCAGAGGAAGCCCCGGCUAACUACGUG